ensembl:lncRNA
GUAAGUUUUAUACUGAUUAUUCUUUCAACUGUUUUAUUUUUUAGUUUAUUGGUUGUUUUGGUUUGAUUUGUUAUUAUUUGAUUUAUUUCUGUUAAUGCAGCUUGACAAUGACCCCAUCUGGAGGUGUGACCGUCAGUGAGGAGCAACAAAAGACAGUGGCGAAGUGUUUGGAGAAAUGUAUGGAUGACGAAUCAGUAGAGAAGCACAGAGAACAUGUGAAGGUCACCCACUCCAGACAGGAAAAAUGUGGAUCAGAGAAAGAACUGCAAGCAAACGUUUCCUCAAAUUUCAGGGAGGUAAAGGGAAGAACAAAAAGGUUAGUAGAAGUAGAUAAUGCAGAGGAGACAGAUAACAGUGCUAGUUUAGAUGGUGCAGGUGCGCCCUCUAAUGGCCAAGAAGUAACUGACAGCAGCUUUGAUUUUGACAGAAAGAGAAAGAGAAGGAGAGAGAAAGAGAGCGAGGGCAGAAAGAGAGAAGAAGGCAGCCACCAAAAAGAAAGGGAAACCACUAGCACUUUUUAUAGCAAAUCCUCAAAUUGUUCGAGCCAAGCAUUUACCUCAGUUUUAGAUUACGAGAAAUCUAGUAAAUGUAGAGAGUCAGGUGAAAACAGGAGCAGAGAGGGCACAUCACGCAAAAUCUAUAUGGAUCUAGACAAAGUGUGGAGAGGUAACUGUGACAAGUCAACUUCUUCAUCAAGAUCCUACCAGCACAACAGCCACCAAGACCCAAACAUUCACCACAACUGGACCUCACUACACUCUCAACCUCACAGUGGGGAAAAAGGCCAAGUCUCUUCAAAAACAUCUACAGAAAGCAAUCCUGGACAAAACUGGACGUGCACAAGCCAAUGCCUGGCCACACCCAUCGCCCAGUCGAGUCUAGACACGGAGGAAAAGAAGGAAGGAGUGAAUACUGAAAGAAUAGAGGAGAGGGAAAGACAUGUAUAUGCAGAAACGUCAUUCUACAGUACAAACGAAAAUGAAUGGAAAAAAGACAAGAAGAGACAUAAAAAGGAGAAGAGACACGCCAGUCCUGAUGAAGGGAAGAAGUUGAAGAAGAAGAGAAACAAAGAUGGAGGACUUUAGUAAAGAGAAUGUUGGAUAAACAUACUUGAAUUGUGUUUUCUUUGACAAGUGCCUAUUAUUUUUUGCCUUAAUUUCUUGUUCUGCCUUAACAUAGUAAUAUAGUAAUAUAGCUUAUGCUGCAUCACACUGGGACAAAGCACUUUUAACUUCAUGAAAAUGUGACUGAAAUCAAAGGGGAAAUCUCUUAGAAAGAAAUUUGCACAUGAUUACAACCUGCUGUAAGGUCGAUUCAAGACAAGUCUGACAAGAGAUUGUGUGAUUCUUUGCCUCAGGUGCAUUCUUAAGAUAUUAUUGAUUUGCAAUGACUUGAAAAGAGUGAAUAUUCAAAUGACGAAUAUAAAUCUUUUGUUUAUGUAUUUUCAUUUUGUAAAUGUAAAACAAACACUCAAGCUGCUGGG